AAGAGGAUCCCCGAAGCUACAGAAUCACAGAUGACGCGGAGCUGCGUGAAGGCGUCUCUGGGCGAGUCCCACAGGGAAGAUGAAAAGCAAGCGGCCCGGAAGGGCCCGAGGGCGGAGCGCAGGCUCACGGGACACAGCGCGCACCAAUGAUGAGCAAACUGAACCAGCGUCAGGAGGCGCCAGUUAAACUCAAAUGUUUCAGCUCAACAAGGCCUGUGAGGUGGUUCCUAUUUCUCCAGUUUUACGUUCUCCGGUAUGUCUUUAUCAGCAGCAUGAAAACAAGACUAAUACACCCCCACACCAUGGUACCGAAGACGGGACACAGCUGCUCUACUGAUUAAAUUCAACUGACGUGAGGUUGCAGCUAUUCUAUUCAUAUAUUCACCAUCCCAUUCUUGAUGAUGUUCCUCAAGCUUACUUAACUUGCACGUGGAUGCAGAAGAAAGGUUUCUUUUGAAAGACUGUUGUAAAUAAAAGAGUCUGUAGUGCUUA